GCCGGAGUGUGCUACAACUGGAUACUGGAAAGGACAAAGAGAAAGGAGAUAAAAAGUCCGACACGAGAGCUAAAGAGAAAGCGGGAAAGCGGGAGAAGGAAGCAAAAAAGGAAGUGAAAGAUGAAAAGACAAAGAGUAAGGAUGAACUACGCCACAACAAAGAGAAGCAAG